AUUGCCUUAGUAACGGCGAGUGAAGCGGCAACAGCUCAAAUUUGAAAUCUGGCCCUCGGGUCCGAAUUGUAAUUUGUAGAGGAUGAUUUUGGUGCGGUAUCUUCCGAGUUCCUUGGAACAGGACGCCUUAGAGGGUGAGAGCCCCGUACGGUUGAAUGCCUAGCCUCUGUAAAUCUCCUUCGACGAGUCGAGUAGUUUGGGAAUGCUGCUCUAAAUGGGAGGUAAAUUUCUUCUAAAGCUAAAUAUUGGCCAGAGACCGAUAGCGCACAAGUAGAGUGAUCGAAAGAUGAAAAGCACUUUGAAAAGAGGGUUAAAUAGCACGUGAAAUUGUUGAAAGGGAAGGAUUUGUGACCAGACUUUUUCUGGGCGGAUCAUCCGGGGUUCUCUCCGGUGCACUUUGCCCAGUAAAGGCCAGCAUCGAUUUUUGGCGGCGGAUAAAAGCAGUGGGAAUGUGGCUCCCUACGGGGAGUGUUAUAGCCCAUUGUAUAAUACGCUGCUGGGGAUCGAGGUACGCGCUUCUGCAAGGAUGCUGGCGUAAUGGUUAUCAAUCACCCGUCUUGAAACACGGGCCAA
rnacentral:rRNA from 1 species